UAGGGAAUCUUCCGCAAUGGACGCAAGUCUGACGGAGCAACGCCGCGUGAGUGAAGAAGGAUUUCGGUUCGUAAAACUCUGUUGUUAGAGAAGAACAGCGCAUAGAGUAACUGUUAUGCGUGUGACGGUAUCUAACCAGAAAGCCACGGCUAACUACGUGCCAGCAGCCGCGGUAAUACGUAGGUGGCAAGCGUUGUCCGGAUUUAUUGGGCGUAAAGCGAGCGCAGGCGGUCAAUUAAGUCUGAUGUGAAAGCCCCCGGCUCAACCGGGGGGGGUCAUUGGAAACUGGUUGACUUGAGUGCAGAAGAGGAGAGUGGAAUUCCAUGUGUAGCGAUGAAAUGCGUAGAUAUAUGGAAGAACACCAGUGGCGAAGGCGACUCUCUGGUCUGUAACUGACGCUGAGGCUCGAAAGCGUGGGUAGCAAACAGG
rnacentral:rRNA from 1 species